GCCUGGUGCAAGAGCUGCCCUAGGCAACGUGUGGCCUCUGGGCCUUGGGCUGACCGUGUGUAAGGGGAUUUGGAACCAAGUUUCCAUUAGUAGUCCCUGUCCAUUUUUGCUCCCAUGCACUGUUUCUGGUAAGUCCUGAUAUAGAAACCAGCAAGGCCAUCCUUCCCUUGCAGCACAGACAGUAACUAAUGGGCCUUUCUUCUGCAGACGGGAAAACUGGAGCAGAGAAGACAAAUCCAGCCUGAGCCAAGAGGCCUCUGCAUCGCUGGUCAGGAAAAAGCAACUGCUAGAUUUCUGGUUUGCCCCUCAGACCGUGGAGCUCCGGGUCACCAGCCUGAACCGCUUAAUGCACAUCACGCCUGGGUUUAGUUGGAAAUGGCUGAAGGCACUUAAAUGGAACUCCCAACCUUUGUCCUCAGCUUCCGAAACCACAGGUAAGUAUUGAGGUCUGUGUUGUAUCGAUCAUGCCUCCCACCGGCAUCAGGAAAAAUGCUGUGAAGCAAGUCAACUUUCUAGUGACAAGGGAAGUCAUUCUCCUAAUCCACUCUCACUGGACAAUCAGGUUGACAAAAACCAUUAAGUUUUCCGAGAUUAGAAAUUCACUGUCAGAGGGAGCCGUGUAUAGAGUUUUCCACUCCAU
rnacentral:lncRNA from 1 species